AUGUUUCCCUCUAGAUUUUCUUCAAGUUGGAUCUUGGGGGAGGCUGCCUCCUGGAGUCUGAGAAUCGUCGUCCCGGGUUAUGAUUGCCACCUAGCGGCCAGUGCGAGAAGCGCAUGGCUGUGCCUUUGGUCUGACUUCCUUCUAACAGUGCUAUGCAAAACAGAAGUGAGCUGGCUUCCUACCUACCCGAAACGUCUGAAUGGGAUGCGACGAGAAAGUUCGCCGGUCAGGUCCGGAGGAUGUCACGGGUCACGCAUCCGCUGCACCUGUGCCCGCAGCCUGGGGCGUCCUGGGGCGGCUUACAGCCCAGCUGCCGCCAACCGCAGCCAUCAGUCCUCUCCGGGAAUGUCCUCAGCUGAAGAGAACCGUGCAGGGCAAGGCCGUGCCCCCUUUCUGAGCAGCCACAGCCCUGAUUGGUCAGGGGGGUUGUAAAGGCCCAAUCUCUUCACCUGAAAUGAGGGUAAGUGGGGAAGCCUGACGCUGGGGCCAGUCUCGGAACCGGAACCGGGUAGGGAGCCGCCUCUGAGAAGCUUCUCUUCGGCUAUGCUUCACCUAGGAGGGGGCCCCGGAGAGCAGAUGCCAGGAUGGGGUUCUGGACCUGGGCCGGGGGCUGCUGGCCGGCGGCGAGGACUCCGGGCCUGUGUCCCUGGCGCAAGGUAACAAUGAAGCGGGCAAAGUGUCACCGGGGCCGUGUUGUGGUGGAUGGGGAUUCACCCGUGGGGUCCACGCAUCAGGAGUGGGGAGCACACGGAGGGAGGGGAAGCCACAAGGGCAGUGAGAUGCUGUGGCUGUCGCUAAGCACAGUUAAGUUCUGGGGGAAGAGAAAAGGCUGAGUUGAGUCCAGGGCAGUUAAAGGCUCCCUGUGAGAGGUGGCGCUGCCCCGUUGGGAGCAGGGAAGAGGCGCUCCCCGCCUGGUUGUCACAGCAGAGAGAGCGGAGGACCAGGUCCCGGACCGUGUCACGCAGCAGCGGGGCCCAGGCUGACCCGGGCGAACGCAGGUCGGCCAUGAGCUCAGGGCCCUGCCGGAAGGCAGGUAGGUACCUCGGCGUCAGCCCCAACGCCCCCUCUGGCCGUGACACUGUGCCAGGCCUGCCGAGAGCUGAAGGAAGCUGGGCCCAAGGGCCCCCUAACCCCCUGUGCGUAAGAUGGCGCCUGGACGCCGGGAGUGCUGGGUCAGGGGGACUGGAACCUCAUACCAGCCGGGGGAGAUUUUCCUGAUUGGGGAGCACUCUUCCAGGUGGCAAGUGUAAGCCCCCAGCCAGGCCCCUGCAGAUGGUGCCCACCUGCUGCCCGGACGGCUCCCGGCAGAAAUGCCCGAGUUGCCCUGGCAGGCGGUGGACGGAGGGUCAUGAGGGGCAAGCGCAGACACGGUAGGGGAGGGCGCUACGUCGGGCAGAUAGUCCAGCUGGUCCACGGGAAGCCUCGGGAGACGCGCCCACCUCCCGAAGCAGUAGAGAAUGUGCUGGCGGGGCCCCGGCAGGGCUCAGGAGUUCACUUGGGCCCCCUCGCCAGCCCGGGUGGGGGCAGGAGGCGAAGCUGCAGAAAUGAGCUGCCGAUGGCUGCGUGCUGGGGCCCGGGGGUCUGGGCCACGUGGGCACAGAUAGCCUGAUGAGCGGCCUCCGGGGCCGGCCCUGCACAGGCUGGCAACCGGUGACAGAACAGAGGGACCGUUCCCAGGGGCACCACUCAGUCUGUACCAUCAAAAGAAAUCAAGGGUGAUGAGGGGCACCUGCCUGGGUGGCUCAGUCGGGUAAGUGUCUGAUUUUGGCCUAGGUCAUGAUUUCACGGUUUGUGAGUUCGAGCCCCGUGUCAGGCUCUGUGCUGACAGCUCAGAGGGCCCGGAGCCUGCCUCUGGUUCUGUGUCUCCCUCUCUCUGCCCCUCCCCUGUUCAUACUCUGUCUCUGUCUCUCUCUCUCAAAAAUAAGUUAAAUUUUAAGAAAUGGUGGACGACGACCUCCAGGCCAACUUGCCUCCACACUCUGGCGUUAGGGCACCUCAGAUGUAUAGCCUCAGCCGGACCUGGGUGUCCCCCGCCCCGUCUCGCUGUGCCCACUGGGCACUUCGGAUGUCCUGC
ensembl:lncRNA